rnacentral:lncRNA from 1 species
GCAGGAGCCCCAGGAGGGGGGAGGCUGCUACUUUCAACCAGUUUGGAUGCCAAGGAUGAGUUAGAGGAGGUAGGUGUGGCGGGUGGGGAAGGGAGUUAAGAAAUUGGGUUGAGGGAUACGGAGCGGAUAUGGGUGGGGGCGGGGGGAAAGGCCUUCAAGUUUUUUCCAAGGCAACACAAACACUGCUCUAGUUUCCUGCUCCUGAAGGAAGAAGUGUGGGCCAACUUCCUGGAUAGGUUGUCAUAGUAACAGCAGCCACAGUCUGAAAAUGGGUGAGGGGUGUUGGUGAUGGAAGGGAUACAGCAUCCAGAUUUACCGAAUUUAUUUAUUUUUAUUCCUUUCCACAUACACAUCACAGCUAUUUUUAAUGUCCACUCUGUUUCAGACCCAGAUCAUAUUGACUUGAGAAUAAUGUGUGUGUGUUUGUGUGUGUGUAGGUGUCUUGGGCUGAUAGGAGCUUGCAGCAGGCCUUGGACCCUCCUGUUAGAUGGUAUUAUUGACGUCGGCAGACACAGCCAGUUGCCAGUCAACUAGGCAUUUAGAAUGAGGACACGUGAAUAGUGUUAGUUCAGUAGCCUCAGCCACAGGAAUGGGGUGAACAAGUGAAUGUGACCUAGGGGACCAUGUUCCGUAGAAGAGAUAGAGAACACAGAGUUGCUGAGAAGAAUGUAGGGCAGGGGAGGUAGCUCACUCAGUAGUAGCACACUUGCCAAGCAUGCCCCAUGCCUUGAGUUUAAUUCCUAGUACCUCAUUUUUAAAAAGGAUGGAGUGAGGCAAUACCAUGGAACAGAAUGGGAAUUCUUAGGGAACUUGGUAGUUGUUCCUCCCUUCUCUUCCCCCAGUUGUUCUUCCCCUGCUGGUUUGGAGUCGAUCACAUAUCUCUUUCCUAUGCUAUACACAAAGUUAUUGACAUAGGAAUAUAAGACCCAGCCCAGAACUGAGGCAUGAUUCCUGAACUAUUUGUAAAGCCUAUUCAGUGCUUCAACUCAGUGGUUAUCUAGAGACAGGAUGAGGAAAUUAAUAGGCCCUGGCUCUUCACUGUUCAUUCUGCUGCUUCUGAUUUUGUUAUAGCCCUUUAUCAGUUAUUAGAGGGUAGAUAGGCAGAUAGGUGAAACUCAUAAGUUUAUUUGAAAAACUAUUAGUUCAGACACAAGACAGUGAGACAGUGUGAAUCAAGAGGUGGUUAAAUAGCAACUGCAGAUUACCUACCGGCAAAAGUCUACUUGUAGUUUGGCUUCCCCCCAGUAGUUCUCUGAACAUUUAGAUAAAGUUUGUUUUGUGGUUAUUUUUUUUUUUAAAUCAAAAUAAAUAUAAUUAGAAAUGUAAAUAAUACUGCAAAAAUAAUGUAUUUCCAAAAAUUAAAUUGAGUUACUUAAAAAAAAAAAAUCUUGCUUAGGAUUACCUGGAUAUUCAAAUUAUCCUUUUUUAACGAAAUGACCAUUUUGGGGACUAGAGAUGUAGUUCAAAUGGUUAAGUGCUUGCCUGGCAUGCGUGAGGCCGUUGUUCCAUCUCUGAGUACUACACCACCACGAGAGAAAGAAAUGGCCACUUUUAUGUCAGUAGUAAAACUACUGCCUUUGGUUCCUCUAUCAGUUGUAUGGAAGGGAAAAGACUAAUGGUGGAUGAUAAUCUGUUUAUUCCUCAUCCUGAUUCCUACAGGGGUCAUCGUGCCUGUGAUUUAAUUUAAACCACAGGGUAAGACAGCAUCCUGUUCAGUAAACAAAAUGAUAUGGCAGGAGGAGACCACAAAAGAAGGGAAGCAUUUAUUUUCUUGCUUUUUUAGACUGAGAAUGAACUUUUUACUGUUUCCAGGGAGAAGAGGAAGGGAGAGUCCUUUUUUUUUUUCCCCCUAAUCUCCAUGGUGCAGAUGUUUCUUAUUGUGCCUCAAGCUCCUCUACUCUCCUUCCUUCUUGGCCUUUUGUCCUUUGCAUUCAAACUUUCCAGCUAGCCUUACAACACUAUUUUCCCCCCGUUUGUGGUUCUGUCAACCCCACUAGACCAGAGUGAUUUUAAGGGCUCUGACUUCUUCAUCUGGGCCUCAGCACAGAUCUCUGCACACAGAAGUUAUCAAAACCUGGUUGUUGACCAACUGACCUGUGCUUGUUCUGGCUGGGUAAUUUUCCUUUACAGGUCUAUCUAUUCAGGUACGCAGAGGUAGCCCCCUGACCAUGUACACUUACUGUGUGUUGAGAAUUAUAGGGAAAUAAGAUGGGUGAGACCCAAAGUCUGCCUUCCACAGUUUAAUCAUCUGAAGACUUGAAUUAACACACCCAAAAGAAGGUUUAAAACAAAGAGGAUCUGAUUAGAAUAAUGAAGAGGAUGGGGUCAUUAUAGUUGGGUAUGAUUUGGAAAGGCUCUUUAGAGGCCUGGAGUAUGAAGCAUUAGUCAAGGUCAGGGGCUGAGACUCUUCUACCCCAGGGAAUGUUCCUUGUAUCCUUUCUUCUCUUUGACCUCAUUCCUCCCUUUGAAGACCAGUCUCCUUGCUCAUCCCCAGCCCAAUUUGGGGAGGGAAUGGGAUAAAAAUAGUGCCAGAGAUUGGAGGAGUUAGAACAUGUAGUUCCUACUUGCAUGAGCCUUUGCAGCUCCUGGUUAUUCCUUUGUCAAAGAGGGGCCAGCCACCUUGAAGUGAGACUGAAAGCAGGAGCUGUGGCCCAGACAAGUCAGAACUUCUUGAAGUUAUGGAUAGGUCUUAGCAUUGCAUUUGAUUAGAAGUAUGUCCCUGCCAUAUUUUCCCCAGGGAAUAAUUUAUAUCCUUUCCAUGGAAUCGCUAGGGAAUGGGCUUUGAGUCAUUUCCAGUUUUUUUCCAUAAAUCAUCAUUUCACAUACAAGGGACUCCUUGUUGAAUAUAGGUUGUCCUUAAGUAUCCAUAGGGGAUUGGUUCUAGGCCCAUCAGAGGAUGCCAGAAUCUGAGAUGCUCAAGGCCCUAUGUCAGUUCUGUGUACGGGGAAAGGAAGGGCUAGCUGUGCUUGGAACCUGCUGUUGAGUAACUCCUCAUUGAUGUGGGUUCUUGAGGAUUUUGCCCAUUGGAUCAUUUCUUCCUUUCCUGAAGACCAUAGAAUUUAGUGCUUCAAGGCCAAAAUGUCCCAUAAAGGAGCAGUAUAUACUAUUACACUCCCCCCCACCCCAACUAGGGAUUGAACUCAAGGUCCUACCUUGCUAGGCAAGCACUCCACCACUGAGCUAUACCCCCGCAGCUCGUUCUUUCUUUUAUUAUUAUUUUUAAUUUUUUUAGUUGUCAAUAGACCUUUAUUUUAUUUAUUUAUUUAUAUGUGGGGCAGAGAAUCAAACCCAGUACCUCACAUAUGCUAGGCAAGUGCUCUACCACUGAGCUACAACCUCAGCCUUUAUUUUUUAUUUUUUUGAGAUGGCCUUGGUAAUUUGACUAGGCUGCUUUGAACUUAGGUUCCUCCUGCCUCAGCAUCCUGAGUAGCUGAAAUUUUAUUGUACACUUUUUUACCACACUAUAUAUUUUCUUAGCUUAGGGUGGGAAAUGAAAGAUUAGAGGGAUCCUUUUAACUUGAGACUCCAAAGUCAGUUUUCAGCUUCAGGUAUAUAAUGGCAGAUAUCUGUUGCUGUUGUCAUGGUAGUUAUGGUCAGGCAGUCUUAGUACUAGAAAAAUUAGUUGAGGAGCUCCUAGAGAUGAUAAAUAUUUACUCACCUCUCUGAGAUGCUGUUGUAGAGUGCUUAUUCUGAACAGAGCCAUUCUGCCAGCAAUUGUUGGCAGCUACAUACAUGAUUUCAUCUUUACUAAGGGCCUCCAGAGACUGGGGGAAGAAAGAUAUGGUUACUGGAUUGUAGGAAUCUAGUUUCCUGUGGCCCUCUUUGAGGGGAUUUGAUGCUUUUUUUUUUUAAUAUUUAUUUUUUAGUUGUAGUUGGACACAAUACCUUUAUUUUAUUUAUUUUUAUGUGGUGCUGAGGAUCGAACCCAGGGCUUCACAUGUGCCAGGCAAGCACUCUACCACUGAGCCACAACCCCAGCCCAGGAUGUGGUGCUUUUGACAUCCUGAAUCGUUAAUUCUCCAUCCUGUAUGGAGAAGUAAUUUCUAUAGUUCAUGAGGAGUAGUGUCUUCUAUACUCCCAUUGCCUGCAAAGGACUUCCCAUCACAUUUCUCUCUCCAUUGUGUUUAUCUACUUUUCCAGAUUCUGGACUCUCCUACUUUCUACAUCCUUAGCUGGGCCUCCCUGUUUCCAGAGGCCACUUUGUCCUUAACUGGGCAGUGACCCAUAGAAAAUUGACUCAGGCCUCUGAGCAGAGCUUAGAAUAUCCAGGAGGGGCCUAGAGAAACUGUUCCACCCAAGGUCUCUGAGAGUUAAAUCAUAGCGAGAAACUCUACCGCUCAUAGGGCUAUGUAGCCAGCUUUGUAGGAUUUUGGUACAGGGCCCAUCAGGCAGGCCUCUUCUAGAAGUCAAAGGUUUACAGAGGUAAGUAGGAGAGGAAGCAUUUCAGCCUACUCAAGCAUUUAUCCAUGGCCUGUGGUAGGGGGUUAGUUUUCAGGGAUCUUCAAGGACAUGCAAUUAGAAAUAGUGGCAAAUGUUUUGAAGAGUCUGUUCUUCGUAGAUGUAGAUUUGUGCAACUGAUGAGCUUCCUUACAAAUUGGAUAGAUUCUAGCUCAAUGAAGGCUGUAUGCUAGAUGCUUUCAAAUUUUUAUCUUAUUUAAUCCUCAGAGCAACCUUGUGAUAUAGGAAUUAUCUCUAUAUGAUAAGAAAACCAGGGUUUAGAAAGAGUAAAUAACUCACCCAACAUGAACCUAAAGCUAACUAGCAAGUGCGGUUCCUUCUAUGCUGGGUUUCCUGUCAGUUUGCAUUAGUUAGCUGCUGUUUGAUUUUUUCCUCUCUCUGUUGAUUCAGCAGAGAUUUCUUCCUUUGAUAGGAAACAACAUCUAGAAUUUUAGGAUGCUAUGCUGCUGCUUGUUCACUGUGUCCCUCAACUCUGCUUGUUAACCUCCGUUGGAUACAGGGGUACCACCAAGAAUAGUCUAGACUUGGCAGCUAGAAUAACACUCUCUCCAGUCCCUGGUAAGAAUCUUGGGUAGAAAGGGAUGAAACUUUUUUUAAAAGGAAGCCCAGUGUGAUGUUUUUCCUUCCCUUCUCUUUUUAUGUAUGAGGUGUACAAGGUAAUGAUGUAUCUCAGAGUUUGUUGGAGAGGUGGUUUGUGACAGUCACAGCUCAGCUUUCAUGUGAUCUCACAGUUCCCUUUCACAAGUACGCAGGUGCUGUUUAUUAAGGUGGAACCUGCUGAUCUGACCUAAUUUGGGAGAUAGACCUGACAUUUCCAGUGAAGUUGUAAUACCUGCAAACCUGGCAGCUUUGGGUUAUUUUAGGUUGAAGUUUUGUAGCUACCAGAGCUGCUUACAUUAACACAUAAUUCUACCCUCUGCCACCUUAUGUUCUUACCCAGGAUAGACAUACACAACUUCAAGAUGGUGGUUAGAAGAGAAGCAUGAUUAUCUUUCAUGCCUAGACCUUUUCCCAUUGUCCUUAUAUUCAGUUAUUAACAAGAUGUUUUGUUCUGGCAUCUAUAGUCAAAGGGAAGUAAACCAGCCUGCCUUUGUCACAAUUUUGCCAGCAGCAUUAUCAUUGGGGAUCAUUUUUCCUUAAACAGUUUUUGGGUUAAUCCUCAUGAUAAAAGUUUUAAAGGACUAAGGUUUAGGUGUUGAUAGUGGAAAAGCUUUCUGGCAAAAUAUAUGAGAUAUAUUAUCAAUAUCUAAAUGUUUAGUAUCAAAUGCAUCUUUGAAACAAGGAACCAGUGACUAAGAUCUCUUUAGAAAAUGUUGAGCACAUGCCAUGUUUGGGUGGCCUUUGAAAGUAGAAUGGCCCUUGGAUAGUUUUUAAUAUAGCUGUCCCUACUUUUGUUUAACUAGAGACCUUGGCAAGUUUUAGUCUGGCCUUUUAUUCUGUCACUCCUUUUCUUUCCUCAUACUCUCAUUAUUUUUUAAGUUUGUUUUUAGCAUUUUGAGGGAUGUUAGGUAGAACAGUAUCUCCAUAUAGCUGUGUCUAUAUAUUUAGUGCAUGCUGCAUGCAUGUGUAGAAAUAUCAUACAUUCAAUUAAGACAUGUUAACAAAAAAGAAAGUAUUUUUAAUAUAUAUUUAUAUGUGUAUGUAUGUAUGUGUGUGUAUAUAUAUAUAUAUAUAUAUAUAUAUACACACACAUACAUACAUACACAUAUAAAUAUAUAUUAAAAAUACUUUCUUUUUUGUUAACAUGUCUUAAUUGAAUGUAUGAUAUUUCUACACAUGCAUGCAGCAUGCACUAAUCAAUCCAGCCUCUGUUUAUUCACCCUUUCCUACCACUGCCUUUCCCAACCUCUAAUAAUCAGUAUAUAGAUUCACAUUGACUUGUUUUUAGUUUCUACAUACAUGGGAAGUUACAUACAUGUCUUUCUAUAUCUAGCUUAUUUUACNUUUUAGCAAAUACUCAGUACUAAUAUCCUACCUAUGAAUGUUAACAGUACUCUCCUUUAAGCCAUCUCCUGGCUUUACCUCUGGCCUCUGUUGGGUUUUCUGGAAGUCUCAUGAUUAUCUCUCUUCUUGCUUUUUCUUUCUCUUUCUUGUCUCUGCUUCUUUCUCUUAUUUACCUUACCAUCCCCCCAAAAAAAUUUUAACAAUUUCUUACUAUAUAAUCAGUAUUUCAAGUCAGUAAUCCAAGAUCCAUACCUUGUAUUCUGUUUAAGUCUUCAAUUUUCUUUCUUUCUUUCUUUCUUGUGUGUGUGUGUGAGAGAGAGGGAGUGGUGGGGAGGUACUAGGGAUAGAACUCAGUCUUGUGCAUGCUAGGCAAGCACUCUACCACUGAAUUUUAUCUCCAGCCUGACUCUUUUUUUCUUUAAUAUUAUUAUUAAAUUUUUUUAUUUGUUUGUUUUGGCAAUGCUGGGGUUUGAACCUAGGGCCUUGUGCAUGCUAGGCAAGUGCUGUACCACAGAGCUACAUUUCCCAGCCUAGAUUCUUUAAUUUGUUUAAUAACUUUAUUUCAAAAUAAUUUCAAACUUAAAGAAAAAUUAUAAUACAUAGAAUGCUCAUAUGCUUUUCACUUAUAUUUGCUGAUUAUUAGUAUGUGGCACAUCUGCUAUAUUACUCUAUAUAUAUACAGAUAUUUUAUUCUUUUGAAAGUAGCAGCCAUUGAUGCUCCUUUAAAUUUAAAUACUUCCACAUAUAUUUCCCAAUAACAAAAGAUUUUUUAAAAGUACUUUCUUUUUGGUUAACCUGUCUUAAUUGUAUGUAUUUCUACACAUGCAUGCAGCAUGCACUAAUCAAUCCAGCCUCUGUUUAUUCACCCUUUCCUACCACUGCCUUUCCCAACCUCUAAUAAUCAGUAUAUAGAUUCACAUUGACUUGUUUUUAGUUUCUACAUACAUGGGAAGUUACAUACAUGUCUUUCUAUAUCUAGCUUAUUUUACUUAAGAUAACAUCGUAUGGUCCCAUCCAUUUUACUGUAAAUGAUGGGAUUUCAUUCUUUUUUGUGGCUGAAUGAUAUUUCAUUGUGUAUAUUAUCACUUUUUCUAAUCCAUUCAUAUAUUGAUGGGCAGCUAGGUUUGUUCCAUAGCUAUUAUAAAUAGUGCCAUAAUAAUCCAAGGUGUGCAGGUAUCUCUUUGGUAUCCUGAUUUUAUUAAAAACAGGAAUCUUCCCUCACAUAUCCACCAUUCCAUUGUCAAGACUGGAUAAUUUGCCAGGCACUGUGUGGCACACACCUAUAAUCCUAGCAGUUCAAGUGGCCAAGGUAGUUUGCAAGCUCAAGCCCAACCUCUGCAAUUGAACAAGACCCUGUCGCAAAAAGGGUUCAGAGCUCAGUAGUAAAGUGCCCGAGGAUUCAAUCUUCAGUACCCUGGGAGUGGGGCUGGAUAGUUUAACAUUGACAUGUUGCUAGUUCAAGUCAGUAAUUCAAGUAUUCACAUUUUAUCUGUCAUCCCAAUUAUAGCAGUCCAGGAUCACACCGUUGUAUUUAGGUGUCAUAUCUCUGUAUUACUCUAUUAUUCUUUAAUCUGUAACAGAUUCGUAAUCCAUUUUGUCUUUCCUUACCUUAGCUUUUUUAAUGUUAAGGCUUUUUUUUUUUCUUUAUUCUUUUUUGGCGGUGUUGGGGAUUGAACCCAAGGCCUUGUGCAUGUGAGGCAAGCAGUCUACCAACUGAGCUAUGUCCCCAGCCCCUUAAGGCAUAUUUUUGACAGGCCAGUUAUUUUGUGGAAUCUCUCAAUUUGGGUUGUCUCAGACUCCUGAGUAGCUGGGACCCCCACAUGCCACCACCUAUCUUCAGUGCAUCUUAUCAGAUGCAUAUAGUGUACUUUGGUUCCUUGGUUAAGGUGAUGCCCUCCAGGUCUUCUUACAUUUAUUAUUUUCCCUCUGAGAUUUAUAAGUUUGAGUGAAUCUUCUUUCUCUUGAAAGUUUUACCUACUGGUAAACAUCUAUUGAAAAUAUUUGCCUAAAUCAACUAUUAUUCUUGCUAUUCUUUCUAUAUUUGUUAGAUGGUGCUCUACUAUAAGGAAGGACUUCUCCUUUUCCUUUUAUUUUUUUUUUUAAAGGCAGUUAGAGCUAGAGACAUCAUCAGGUUUGAAUUUUUUAAGAACUUUUUUGGGGCCAUAAAGGUAUUGUGUCCAUGUAGAACAAUGGUGGAGCACCUAGGCACGGUGCUACAUGCCUAAAAUCCUAGCUGUUUGGGAGUCUGAGGCAAGAGGAUCAUGAGUUCAAAUCCAGCUUAGCAAUUUAGCGAGGCCCUAAGCAACUUAGCGAGACCCUGUUUCUAAAUAAAGUAUGUAAAAAUAGGGCUGGAGAUGUGGUUCAAUGGGUAAGUGCCCUGGGUUCAAUGCCUAGCACCAAAAAAAAAAAAAAAGUAACAAUACUUCGUAGGUGAUACUGACACACUGUUAUUUUGUUCUCACUCUCCCCAGAGAUUGGAAAGGUGUAUGAACAUUGUGACGUCAAUGACAACUGGUGUCUCUGAGAGAGAGGCCAAUGAUGCCCUUAAUGCUUAUGUAAGUACAGCACUCCUUGUAUCCAUUUCUGCUUCUGGAAAGUUCUUAGAUACAACCAGAAAUAUGGAAAGAUUAAGUGGGUAAGAUCUAGGGUUUUUUAACUCCUCUUUUAGGGUGGAAAGCUACCUACUAGAGUCUUGUAUGUUUUUAAAUAACAACCUUUUAAUAAAUUCAGUUCGGUAGUAGUUUUUUCUUUGCAAAUUAUCCUCACAUAUUUUAUCUUUUACGUUUCCAUUGAACUGUGUGGUCAAAAUAAAUGGUACAUGUGAAGGACUUAGAGUAAUCUCAGGUUCACAGUAAAUGUUCAGUAGGUAUUACCUGCUUAUUGUUGUAUUUUUAUUUUUUUGUUCUACAUGGACACAAUACCUUUAUUUUAUUUGUUUUAUUUAUUUAUUUAUUUGUUUGUUUGUUUAUUUUAUGUGGUUCUAGAGAUUGAACCCAAUGCCUCACACAUGCUAGGCAAGCAUUCUGUCACUGAGCCACAACCCCCACCCCUGUAUAUUAUUCUUAUUAUGUCUUUUUUUUUUUUUCAAUAUUUAUUUUUUAGUUUUCGGCGGACACAACAUCUUUGUUUGUAUGUGGUGCUGAGGAUCGAACCCGGGUUCCGCCCAUGCUAGGCAAGCGCUCUACCGCUGAGCCACAAUCUCUUAUUAUGUCUUCAUUUUAGAAAUCUCAGAGACUUAUUGAUUUGCCCAUAGUUAGGGUUGGUAGGUAGGCUUGUUGGUAGCAGCUGCCUUUUUUUUUUUUUUUUAGUUUUAGGUGGACACAGCAUUUUUAUGUGGUGCUGAGAAUUGAACUCAAGUGGUGAACACUCUGCCACUGAGCCACAACCUCAGUCUAGCAGCUGCCUUUCUACUGUGUGCUGCUAAGAUCUGACAGAGCGGGGGAGGAGGACUUUUUGGUUUUAUUUUUCCUAUCUUAAACACUCUCUUUUCUAUUUCUGGCUUACUUCAGGUGGCUCGAGAAAGCAAUAAAGGUUAUCCCUUCCCUCCACCUCUCUCCUAAAACAGAUGUCUCAUCCUUUUUUUUGAUACUGGGUGCUUUACCACUGAGUAUACUUCCCAGCCUCACCCCACCCACCCAACCACCCCUUUUUUUUGGAUACAGAGUCUCACUAAGUUGCUGAGGCUAGUCUCAAACUUUUUUUUUUUUUUUCAAAUAUUUAUUUUAGUUUUCGGCGGACACAACAUCUUUGUUUUGUAUGUGGUGCUGAGGAUUGAACCCGGGCCGCACGCAUGCCUGAGCCACAUCUCCACCCCGCUAGUCUCAAACUUGAGAUUCUCCCGCCUCCCCAGUUCCUUGGAAUACCGGUGUGGGCCACUGUCCACCUAGCUUCAUCCCUUUUAAGAGAAGAAAAUAAUCCGAUUCAAGAGUUGAUCAUUCUCCAUUGCAUGUUAGGAGGCUUUAGUUUUCUGGGUGAUACUGUGCUUGAAUUUGAGUACCACCAACUACUUUAUUCCCUUCCUCACUUUCCAGGUUUGCAAAGGUCCCCCCCAACAUGAGGAAAUCUGUCUGGGCCUCUUUACUCUUGUUCUCACAGAACCUGCCCAAGCCCAGAAGGUAAGAUACCUGCUGUGGACCCACAGACCCUCUCAGACAGGAUCUGGGAAUAUGGUGAAAUUUACCAUUUAACUGGGGACAUAUCAGACUCUUUGACUAGUGCUGAAUCAAUUUGUUCUCCAAAUGUAAUUUUAAUCCCUUUUUAUUCUCAGUGAAUUGAUUAUUCUCCAAGUUCUUUCUGUUCCCAGACCCUAAAGCUAAAAGGCAAGAAAAGGCAGUUGUGAGAGUGAAAAGCACUUACAGAUUGAAAUUUUAGGUGUAUGAGGUGAGGCUCAAAGGGCUGGGAUCUAAUCCUAGGAGAGAAGAAAACCACUGUAAUGAUAUCAGUGAAAGUUCUUAUUCAGAAGAGCAUCCCCAUUAGCAGGUGAAUAGAAAGCAGGCUUAAAUUUGCAGCAAGUAGCUGUAAUCCUAGCAACUUGGGAGGCUGAGUCAGGAGGAUUGCAAAUCCAAAGACAGACUUAGCAGUUUAGUGAGCCUUAAGCAAUUUAGAAAGACCCUGUCUCAAAAUAAAAAAAGGCUGGGCAUGGGGCUCAGUGGUUAAGCCCCGCUACAAUCAAUCCCCAGUAUCAAAAAAAAAAAUUGGUGGCAAGUAGAAUUUAGAGUAGAUAACUAAUCCUAGCUACUCAGGAGGCUGAGGUAGGAACAGCUUGGACAAUUUAGUGAAACUCUGCCUCAAAAUAAAAGAGAGUUGAGGCUAUACCUCAUGAUAUAGCUGGUGCCUAGCAUGCAGGAGACCCUGGGUUCAACUCCUGGUCCUUUUUUCAAUGAAAACAGAUUAUAGAGAGUGCUGGAGUCCAACUUACUGAGGAAUACAGUAAACCUAGUCUGUAGCUCUUUGUAAACAGAAAAGGAGUCUUUACGCAGAAUGAUAUAAUUGGGAUUCUUCCUUAAAGUGAAGGUCUAGGCGGUAUGAUCUCUGUGCAUUCUGUUCUUUUUAUAAUAACAUAGCAAAAUUAAGUCUUCUGCCUGCCUAGAUUUCCCCUUUCCAGUAAUUCCAUGUCCUUUGAGUCUCGGCAUGAUGAUGUAUGUGUCUGGCCCGGCGCGGUGGUGCAUGCCUGUAAACCCAGCAGCUUGAGAGGCUGAGGCAGGAGGAUUGCAAGUUCUCAACCAGCCUCAGUAACUUAUAGCAUCCCUAAGCAACUCAGCAAGAACCUGUCUAAAUAAAAUAUAAAAAUGGACUAAGGAUGUGUCUUAGUGGUUGUGACCCUGGGUUUAAUCCCUGGUAUCAAAAAAAUAAAAUGUGUCUGGAAUCUGGCUUAAAAUGUUUUAUAAGACUCUGGCUUUGGGCGAGUUUGACACCCCCAGAGUUGGGAGAACUCAGCCUCUCAUUGGCUCUUUCAUGAACAAGGUGGGUGUGGAAGGAAGCAGACAUGCUCUUUGUGUAGCAUUCUUCUAGACUUUGCCAGAGAAUAUCUCAUUUGAUGCUUCCAAAAAAUUGGAUGUGGUGGGGGCUUUUUUCUGUCCCCGCAACCUGCUCUCACUUUACCUGUGUGGUACUUGGUGAUUAGAGAUGUCAUCCUUGUUAGGGAUAACCAAAGGAAACUCACUCCCAGGGGUAAGGAUAGGAUGCUAUGGUCUUCUGGCAUAGCAGUUUGGAUUAACCUUGGGGGAAGGAUUUAUGGGUGUGGCAACCUGACUUGUUUGUACCUGAUGUUAGCUGUAAUAGGAAGAGUCUGAGGUUAGGCAGAUGGUGAUCCAGCAAGUAUUCAAAGUCCUUUUUUUGUUGGGGGUACCAGGGGUUGAACUCAAGGGCACUCGACCACUGAGCCCCAUCCCCAGCCUUAUUUUUAUUUUACUUAGAGACAGGGUCUCACUGAGUUGCUCAACACCUUGCUAUUGCCGAGGCUGGCUUUGAACUUAUGAUCCUCCUGCCUCAGCCUCCUUGGUUCCCAGGAGAGCCCAGGUGAUUUUGGACUAGGACUUUGUAAAGUUGAUAUUUCAUUUUUAUACUGAAUUCAUCAAGACCCUAGAAAAUGAAUGUUUCCCAUUUGGUAGUGUUAAACAGUAUAUUAUCCCCUUCAUUUUUGGCAGGGGCAGUGGGUAUGGGGGAUUGAACCCAGAGGUGCUUAACCACUGAGCAUAACUCCAGCCCUUUUUUUUGGUGGUGGUGGGGUACCGGGGACUGAACUCGGGGGCACUUGACUACUGAGCCACAUCCCCAGCCCUAUUUUGUAUUUUAUUUAGAGACAGGGUCUCACUGAGUUGCUUAGUGCCUUGCCAUUGCUGAGGCUGACUUUGAACUCAUGAUCCUCCUAUCUCAACCUCCCGAGCCAUUGGGAUUACAGGCAUGUGCCACCGCCCCUAGCAACUCCAGCCCUUUUUAAUAUUUUAUUUAGAGACAGGGUCUCGCUGAGUUGCUUAGGGUCUUGCUGAAUUGCUGAGGCUGGCUUUGAACUCGCAGUCCUCCUGCAUCAACCUCUGGAGGCACUGGGAUUACAGAUGUGUGCCACUGUGCCCAACAGAUCCCCUUCAUUUUAAAGAAAUUGUUGGCAAAGAUGAGAGUAGAAGGUUUAAUUUUCUCUUGUAUGGAUUUUUUUUUCCUUUUUCAAAAUUGUAAUUAUUAAUGAACAUUACACAAGUUAAUUAAUUUCAGUGUGUUACUUCCAUAUAUCAGGCUUUAAUAAUAUUUACCCUCUUUCUUGCCCUCCUCUCUCUUUCUUUCCCCAUUCUCCCAUUUCUACUGUUUCUCCUUACCCUUCCCUGACCCUGAUGGUUCCUCUUCUACUUUCAUCCAUUUUCCUGCAAAUGAUAGGAUUUUAUUCUUCUUUAUGGCUGAAUAAUACUCCAUUGUGUAUAUGUACCAUUUUUUUAAUUCAUUCAUCUGUUAAUGGGCACAUAGAUGAUUCUAUAUCUUAGCUAUUGUGAAUGGUGCCGUAAUAAACAUGGGUAUGCAUUUCCUCUUUUGAAUGCUGAUAUCAUUUUCUUGAGAUGUAUACCCAGGAGUGGUAUAGCUGGGUCAUAUGAUAGUUCUAAUUUUAAUUUGCCCCCUCUCCCACAAUAGUGGGAAUUGAACCCAGGAGUACUCUACCACUGAGCUAUAUCCCUAACCCUUUUUAUUUUAUUGUGAUAUAGGGUCUUGCUGAGUUGCCAGUCUGGACUCAAAACUUUUGAUCCUGCUGUCUCAGCCAUCAUACCCUGCUCUAUUCCAUCUUGUAUAAAUUUUUAUUUAUAAAAUAAAAUUUUAUUUUAUAAAUUUUAUUUAUAAAAUUUUAUUCAUAAAAUCUCAUUAAAGGACUAAGGAUGCAGCCCAAUGGUAGAUCACUUGCCUAGCAUGUGCAAAGCCCUGGGUUAGAUCCCUAGCACUUAAAACAAAAGAGCAGGGCUGGGGAUGUGGCUCAAGCGGUAGCGCGCUUGCCUGGCAUGCCUGCGGCCCGGGUGCAAUCCUCAGCACCACAUACAAACAAAGAUGUUGUGUCUGCCGAAAACUAAAAAAAUAAAUAUUAAAAAUUCUCUCUCUCUCUCUCUCUCUCUCUUAAAAAAAAAAAAAAAAAAAGAGCAGCAACAAAAUCAAAACCUUUUUUAGUCAUCUUAGUACAAUUUACUCUUGCCUGCUGGAAAAGAUUGUUUGUUUCAGGUGAGUUCUAAAUCAGACAGAGUAAAUCAAUAAACCUCAGUGAAGAGAGGAAGACAUAUCUGGUAUUUCUGGUUCUUAACCUGGCAUGGCAGUGAACAAGGCCACUGGGCUCUAUGUUGUAAGUGCUUGUUAUAUAGUUAGGCUGUCCAAACCCAGCAAGGGCUAGAGCACUCCUCUUUUGUAUUAGGACAGCCCCUGAGGGAGGCCCUGUGCUCCCUGGGGAGGUCAGACAUCUCACCUUGGGUCUCAUAACUGAUUGACAGGUACACCAGGAUUCAUGUUCACAUGCUAAAUACUUCCAAGUAAAUCCUUUACCAGUGAGACUCAAUCUGAGUCCCCAGAUCAGGCCUCUUCAGAAAAUGGUAGAGAUAGAAUCAGGAGGACACAAUUUUAGGUGAGUGAGGAGGUAUCAGGUAGUGACUCAUUCAGAGACUUUGAGCCAAGUCAGAGAGUGGUGGGAGAACUGAUGAUAUAUCUCCCUUGAGCUUUGAUCCUUCUUCCUAAAAAGGUAAUUGUCUUGUGAAAUAGUUCUGUCCUGCAAACAUUUUAGGCGGGAGUUACUGAUAAGGACUGAUCUUAAGACAUUGUUUCAGGCUUCAGCAAGAGAACUGUUUCUGAAUGUUUAUUUGAGGUUAAUUUUACCUUUGGAACAGAAAUCCCAGGAUGGAUUUGAGAUUUAGUUUUUCCUGAAUCUCCAUAGGCCAAGAGUUAAGAGGCAGGGAAGAAAAGAUGGUGGAAACUGAGUUUUGAACUCAUUAGAAAACCUGUCCUAGGCUUGGCUUCCAGCAGUUUGGGGAGGCUGAGGUGGGAGGAUCUCAAGUUCAAAGCCAGUCUCAGUAAAAAAUGAGGCCCAAAGCAACUCACUCUGUCUCUAAAUAAAAUACGAAAUGGGGCUUGGAAUGUGGCUCAGUGGUUAAGCACCCGUGCAUUUUCAACCCCCUGGACCAAAAAGAAAAGCAACCUGCCCUAGGAAAGCAUGAGCUGGGAAGCCUCUGUCAGUUGGUGGCAAGUUCAUAGAGUCAGGAUCAGCUCCUUCUGGGACUUCUUAGUGGGUAGAGAGGAUAACACAGUUAAGGAAUGAGUGGUAAUUUUUGUGUAGAAAGUAGAAUAUUCAUGGGGUGGGUUCUGUUCCAAUAGUACCUUCUUGAUUUGACCUGCCCUCUUGUCAGUUCUUGGGAAUGUUUGUAUUCUUUGACUUUGCUUAUUUCGUAUUUGUUAACUGAACUAAACAGCUGUGAGCACGCCUGGCUGGGAAGUUGGUAAGGAGGGAAGCUAACGCUGUGUAGGCUCUAUAAGUCAGUAGAUGAAGGUGAUUGGAAAGGGUGUAACAUCAGUGCCAAGGUCUCACUCCCUCAGAGAGUCAAGGCAUUUCUUGGUCUAGGUACUUCUCUCAGCAGGCAGCUCCAGAAAGAAGGUUGGGGACUGAGGCUAAAACAUCAGUGCUCUCAAGAGGGUCAGGCUAGAUGUGCUACCUCAGCACCAUCCUGUCCCCCCUCCUUUCUUUGAGACCCUCUGCUUUUCUUCUGUGUUCAUUGCUGAGUUUUGUCUUUUUCUCCCAUAUGCUUCUCUUCUAAGGCAGUCAGCAAACUGGCGCAGAGGUUGGUAAGACAGCUGGCAGCAUCAGGAAUAUGAGCCUCUUGGUACCCAGCUGCCAUGUGUUACCAGCAGUUGUGGUUGUUAAAGGUCCCAGUUGGAGCAUGAAAUUAGGCAGGCAUUAUCUGCCCUCUUCAUCUGACCCUGUAUCUCCUGAGAGAAUUGUCUUCUUUCCCUGUCCUGGGUCUUUUCUGCAUUUCUGGGGUUUUGACUUUGAUUUGAACAGACAAGCCUCCUUUAUACUUAAUGUCUUUGUCCUUGGCCCAACACAGGUUUUCCUUCUGCCUUCGCCUCCCUGAUCCUUCUCUUUGCCCAUUCUGUGACUUACCUCUGACUGAUCUGCCCAAUUUGCUGGCCAGCAUGUUGGCAGUAAUUCAUUACCCUGCCACCCACUCACCCCUCUACCACCUUCCUGCUUUUCUGAUUCCCCAACAGGGUCUUUCUUUUCUAGUUAUUUCUCACUUUAGUAUAAGAGGUGGUUAAGCAUGGAAUGUGGAAUUAGACUGCCAGGGUUUGAAUCUUGAUUAUUCUUCUAAUCUCUUAUGUAACCUGGAGCUAUGUGCUUUAACUUUUCUGCCUAUCUAAUCAUACGUAAUACCUAAUUCAAAGGGUUGUUAUGUGUGUCAAGUGUAAUAAUGUAUAUAAUACAAGACAAAUGAAUAUUAGCUAUUGUUAUUAUUCUUGAUGCCAUCCUUGAUACCUGCCUGCUUUAUACCUUUUGGAUGAAACCUUAACAGGACAGAACUGAGCAGGCUAAGGGGGCUUCUAACGAGAUCCCUGAAGGUAUUCCCCCAGGAGUUUGGGCUCACUGGAAAGACUAGUGAGAAAAGCUCAAAGAGGAAAGGAAACAACGACUCUCACAGAAAAAACUGUCCUACCAUCCCUGCCCCUGGGGUGGGGAUAUUGAAGGACCAUUCUUCUUUCAAUACUUGACAAAAGCAAAGGGUAUCCAGAAAGAAGAAGAUAGACAUUUAGUAAGAAAAUUCAGUUUGGGUUUUGUUGUUUCUCUGGAGCCCUGAUCCCUUAGUGCUUUCUUUGUGGCAUCUGUCUGGGUCAUAUCGGGUCUAAAAACCUCUGGUUGCUUUAUGGCUCAUUCAACUAAACCCAUUCUGCAAUGACCUUUUACUGGCAGAUGAAAAGCAGAUGGCCUCCACCUGGUUUAGCUCAGCUUGUGGCAUCAAACAGUAGGAUACUUCCUGAGAAGGGAGGAAGGGGGAAAGGGAUAGGACUAGGAGCUUUGUCCAGCAGGCUUUCCAGUCUUAUUAGAAAAUUGCUCGGUGCUUUCCCCCCACCCUGUGUGACAGACCAAGGGGUAGAUAUGGGAUAAAGGAGCCCUGUGGAAGGAAAAUAUCCAGAAUGGAAAGUGUUUCAUCGCUACUUGGUGUCUCACUGGUGUUAAGUUUAAGAGACUAGAGGGCAAGAGGUGCACUGUGAGUGGGCUUAGGAACCUUUUCCUCAACUUACUAAUUGCUCACAAACUUUGCUUUUUGCAGUGUUACCGAGACUUGGCUCUGGUGAGUCGUGAUGGCAUGAAUAUUGUCCUGAAUAAAAUCAACCAAAUACUUAUGGAGAAGUACCUAAAGUUGCAGGAUACGUGCCGAACUCAGGUAAGAAUAGGAAGAAAAGAAGGAUCCAGGGAUUGGGAGCGUUAUCUCAGUGGUAAAGUGUGUGCCUAGUAUGCACAAGGCCCUGGGUUCUGUCCCUAACAUCAAAAAAAAAAAAAAAAAAAGAAAAGAAAAGAAUAAGAAGGGAUCCAGCUCAAAGACAUUAACCGUGGGGGGGGGGAUCCCUUACAGAGAAGGGAAGGAGGAAUUGAGGCAACAUACCCCUAUCAUUGUGUACCUAAUUUGUAAUAUGGUUAAGUUAGCUCCUUUCUCAAACUCACAGUUCAUGCUCUUCAUAUUUUCUCCUCUCUCUAGUUGGUGUGGUUGGUACGGGAACUAGUGAAGAGUGGGGUUCUGGGAGCUGAUGGUGUUUGCAUGACAUUUAUGAAGCAGAUUGCAGGUGAGUUGAAAGUCAAGAGCAUAAAGAAGAAAGAGAGCGCUGGGGUUGUGGCUCAGUGGUGGAGCGCUUGCCUCCCACUGUGAGGCAUGGGGAUCAAUCCUCUACACCACAUAAAAAUAAAUACAUAAAUAAAGGUAUUGCAUCCAUCUACAACUAAAAAUAUUUAAGAAGAAAGGAGAGGAGCCCAGAGACUAAGGCUAGGCAAUAAAGACUGAUUAAGCACCCAUGGAACCUGAUUCCUGGGUUACUUAGGCUCUUUCUUUCUGAUACAGACAUCUGGCUUCAUGUGUUUCAGGAAGAAAUUGGUUGAAAAAUCACAGGAGCCCUUUUGAAGCAAUAAGUUUUGCUUUGUUUUCUUUCCUGUCAAAUCUAAAGCCUAGCAGAAUAUUUGACCUAUUUUAGCCAGGCUUCAUUCUGGGUUUUUGUGGCAUAUUGAAUCAGGAAGGAAUGAGGAGAAAAUUAAGGGGAAAUAAUUCAUCCCUGUAUUAUUAUGCUUUCAGAAAUCUAGACAUCUUCCCUGGCUCCACCCCUGUGUUCUGAACAAUUGCUCCCUAAUAAUUAUGACAACUGAUUGGGACCAGUCUGAGGGACAAAGGAUGUUACAGAACAGACCCUGACAUUUAGGUUUUAUUAUCAUCUUGGCAUUGGUGACAUCUGUCUGAGCCAAUGAAUAUGGAAGAGGCCUGCCUGAGCUUCCUCUUUUACUCUCAAGAUUGUGUGUGUGUUUAAAAAACUACCCUCCUGUUUUACCUCAUUAUUUGCCCAUUGCUGCUUGGCUUUCUCUUUAGGAUUUUAUAUAACACUGAUGCCCCUGUUUGGUGUGUUUGAACCAUUGUCUGUGUGAUAUGUGACUAUGUGAACAUCGAAAUGUUUAAUUGGGACUUAGUGCAAGGUAUAGCAGUGUUGUGCUGGUUAUUUUUAUCCUUUCUCCAGCACUUUCUUCCCUAUUUGGGCCUCCUAGCUCCCACUUCUUAUCCCAAGACUUUGGUCUGGCAUUGCUGCAUAUUAAUUCUGCCCCAGGAAGUUCCAUAGCAAGAACUGAAGACUGAUACCUGGAAACAAGAAACCCUUGGCUUGUUGUGAGCUUGAGCACAGGGAACAUCCAGAUGCUGGAUUGCAGCUGUUGCCAGCCGCCCGCACCUCUCAGGCCCUUUUUGAGACAUCAUCCUUUCUUUCCAACCAUGGGAUUCCUUUUCAAGGGCCAGCGUGUUCCCACUCAAGUUUCCAGUCUGGAAAAGCAACAGCUCUGGUUUCUAGAAAAAUUCAGAACAGGGGCUGGGGUUGUGGCUCAGUGGUAGAGCGCUUGCCUAGCAUGCAUGAGGCACUGGGUUCGAUCCUCAGCACCACAUAAAAAUAAAAUAAUGUGUCCACCUAAAACUAAAAAAAUACAUAAAUAAAUAAAUAUUAAAAAGAAAAGAAAAGAAAAAUUCAGAACAUUCCCUUCUCUUCUUCUCUCUGGAGGCAAAGGGAAUUUUUUAAAAAUCGGAUGGAAAAGAAGACAAUUUAUCCUAACACUCAGGAUAACAGUGAUGGGAUAACAGGGUAGACCAGCAAGAUGAGUGAAGAGAUGGAUUAGCUAAGUUGCUAAUUAGAGCUACUGUAUUCUGAUUCUUCCCCCCCUACUUUUUUUUUUCCAUCAGGUGGAGAUGUUACAGCCAAAAAUAUCUGGUUGGCAGAAAGUGUUCUGGAUAUCCUCACGGAGCAGAGGUAGAGUCCAUCAUGAAGGGUGGGGCAAGAACCAGAUAUGACCAGAAAGCAUAUGAGUGUGGGAAGUGGAGAAGAGAGGACUGUGUGACCCUAAAACACCUUAGGUUAGAGAGGAGGAAGCCAGCAUCAAGUGGGGGAGGCGACCAUAUUGAUGGCAAGUAAAGAAAUUAAUGCUGUAGUGUGGCCCAAGGGAUAAAGGAGUGGGAAAGAAGGGCCUGUUUUCUGAGCCCAGGAAAAACCAGUUUCAUCUGAUAAGGGUUUAUUUUUGAUCCAGACCUCCUUGGAAUGUUUAUCUUUGGAGGGGAGGUAGGGGAAGAAUGAGCUCAACAGAGCGGGACCAGCCAGCCACCCAGGCUUGGCAGGUACCUCUUCUCCCUUCCAAACUUCUCAAACACACUGUUUUUGAAGUGGUUCGGAUGGCAGCAGGGGUAGGGAGGUAAUAGAGAUCCUGAUCCCCCAUAGAGGGCUUGGAGCCUCCAGUGGUAGAGAGAGGCAUAUAGGGCUUUCUGGCUGAUUCUUUCCCUUCCUCAUCAAACUGAAGGACCAGAAAUUUUAUGAGGACUAUUCCAUUUCUGAAUUUGUUUGGGAAUGAGGUCUUCCUCCUUGGUCCUGUGGCCCCAGUCUUCAUUUUGCUUAUUUUUUGAGUCUCUCUGGAUAAGAACACCAUAGUAGUAAGAUUCUUGAGAGUGCUGAUAGUGUUCAUAUUGUCCACAUUUUCAAAGAAUGGACCUCCUCCCAUGAUUCACACUUGUGCUGCCUACUGCCAAGCCUGAGAGCCACGCAGGCCAGCUGUGCAGUGCCACCUAGUGCCCUGGCACAGAUGUGCAGCUGCACUGAAUCUGGCAACAUGACACCAGCAUGGGCAAGAUCUUAACAGUUUCUUGCCAGGUUUCUGCUUCUCUUAGGUAUCAUAUUUCUUUUUUUGGGGGGGGCGGGGGGGCGGGGAUUACCAGGAAUUGAACUCUGGGGCAUGCUACCACUGAGCCACAUCUCCAGCCCUAUUUUGUAUUUUAUUUAGAGACAGGGUCUCACUGAGUUGCUUAGCGCCUUGUCAUUGCUGAGGCUGACUUUGAACUCACGAUCCUCCUAUCUCAGCUUCUGGUGCUGCUGGGAUUACAGGUGUGUGCCACUGCACCCAGCAAAUAUCAGUAUUUAUUUAAUGUCCUGGAUUAGAAGGCCUCACUUGCAUCCCUCUUUCUCUUUCUUAUGCCAUUCUACAAUUCAGAUAUGUUUGUCAUUCCUGUUAAUAAUGUUCUUGAAAAGCUAUUUUUCUCAUUUUAUUCCUGGUUCCAGAUGUAUCCUGUCCCCUUGCCUUAAAGCUGAAUUUCCCAUAUAGGUGUCAAAUAACAGCUUGGUAACUUUCCCUACUCUCCAGAAACUCACAUUUUUUGGUAAAAGAUAGUACUUCAAAGUUUAAACUGUCUUCCUCCAUACCUUCCUUCUCACACCCUUCCAAAUGUUUUCAGGCUGUAGGGGUAAAAGGUAACUGGGAGCAGGGCUCAUGUCCUUGGCUAGUGUUUUCUUUCUUUCUUUCUUUUUUUUUUUUUCUUGAAAGGAAAAUGCCAGAUUCUUUUAAUUAGGUGACUUGAGCACAUUUCCAGAAUCAGGAUGUUGCCUGGUUGGAUUAAUUAAACUCACUGUCGUCUUCCUCCAGUUGGCCUUCCAGCAGGGAUGCCAAAGCCAUUACAAACUCUUUGCUUGGCGGAUACUACUCCACAGAAGUAGCACAAGAAACAGCAUUGGGGAUUUUAGGAAUCUUCCCACUGUGUUUUUCUCUCUACCCCUUUUAAAGUAGCAGGGAACAAGUAAUUCUUUCAUUACUCUGUUUUCCCCAGGGAAAUUCUAAAACUCCUGGGAAAAUGAGCUUUGCCAUCCAGAAUCAGGUUCUUUUUUCAGAUUAUGAUUUAGAGCAGGUGACUCAUUGUCUGAGGGUGGGGUCAGCAGCUAGCGAGUCAGGGAAAGGUUUGUGGUGUGGUAAACUGUUAGUGACAAGUGUGACAGAAGGGCUAGCAUGGUGUGUUCUGAGAACUCCUGGUCCUGAAAAGGGUCUUGGAAAUCCCCAGAGAUCCUGGCACCACACUUAAGAACUAUUGACUUAACAGAACUUUCCCCACAGAUGAACUGGGAGAAACGGUUCAUCUCUGACCCUAGUACCUCACACAUUGCUUGGCACAUGAUAGGCACUCAGUAAAUGUUUGAAUAGGUGAGUCAAUGUACAAAGUUAUUUUAUUGGAAGCUACAUAAGUGGUUACAUGGUAAGAAAAGAUUUUUUUCCUUUUGGCAUCUAUUUUUAUUGGUUGCCAAAUAGAGAAAAUUAGGAAGUUGUCCUUCUCUUAGCUAGUUGAUAGUUUUGAGAUAACAGCCUAAGCAAGCAAGCAGAAAAACAAAGAACCUCCUCCCAGUGUGUGAGCAUCAAACAUUAUUGAGUUGCUGGAGCCGAGUUUAAGCGGGUGAUUGGGAGUGUGCGUAGGUCUACGACAGAGUACAGGUGCAGUGUCUUUCCCUCCUGCAGGGAGUGGGUACUGAAGAGCAGCAUCCUCAUUGCCAUGGCUGUUUACACAUAUCUCCGUCUCAUCGUUGACCACCAUGGGACUGCCCAGCUCCAGGCCCUGCGGCAGAAGGAGGUGGACUUCUGCAUCUCGCUGCUUCGGGAACGGGUGAGGAAGUAGGAUAAGAUCAGUAUGGGGAAAUGAGACCCAGGAUGGGAUGCCCCUAUAGGUUUCAUGCACCAGGACUGGAGAUGCCUUUUCAGAUGUGGAAGUGGUUUAAAAUCUAGCAUUUUUCAUUGUCCUUAGAUAAGAGUAGAAUCUAAGGAGGGAGAAUCAGUGUGGAAUAACCCUUGUUCCUAGAAAUGCUAGCAUCCUGGGGAUUUUCCUGGUCACUGUCAAGGACACUGUUGUACAACAGACCCAAGCUGUUCUUUUGUAUACCCACUUAAGCUGUUCUGUCAUCCUACCACCUACCCAAGUAAUUGCCAUGGUCAUGUGGGAUUAUGAAUUGUCUGCUAUCAGAUCUCCCAAGAGAGAGAUCCUAGAAUUAAGUUAAUAUAAUGGCUGUUGACUACAUUUGGUAAUUUAUUAAUUAAUGUCAGAUUUUAAAGUUCCUUAAUUACCUUAGCCACAUGUUGCUAAUGGUAUUGUUUGGAAUGCAUAAAUGUAGAUCAUUUCCAUUACCACAAGAGGUUCUGUUGUACAAGAAUUUUGGGGUAGGGUGUCUGGGGCUCCACUUGCCUGUCCAAUAGUUUUGGAAUCUUAGUCUCUUUGAACUAAAUCAGAACAGUUCUGGGUGGAGAAGGGAAUAGAUUAGUGUGAAAGUCAGCAGGGCUUCAGCACUUCCCAGUAACUUUUCUUCCUUGGUAUCAGUCCCUAGCUUCCAGCUCUCUUCCAUAAACAGCUAGGAACCAAUCCCUUGGUUCUAGAAGAAAUCACAUAGUCCCUUCAACCUUCUUUCCUUCCCUCCCUGGAACAUGCUGUUCUUUUGUCCUCUCUCCAGAAGGUAAACAGUCUGUGUUUUUAUUCUCUUUCCUGUCCCCACUUCCUUCACCUCCUCACAUCAAGUUCAUGGAAUGUUUGAUGAUUGGCCGGGACCUUGUAAGACUACUUCAGAAUGUUGCUAGGAUACCAGAAUUUGAACUGCUUUGGAAAGAUAUUAUCCAUAACCCUCAGGCCUUGAGUCCUCAAUUUACAGGUAAGUAAGCCCUUGGGCAUCUUGUCCUUGAGAGAUGGCAAGUUAGCCUAUAUGUCCUAUAUUCAGAGGGCAGAGGUUGGUGGGUAGGACUGCCUUUGGCAAUCAGAGAAGGUUUGGGGCAGGGCAAGCUUUGCCAAGUACAGCUAGAUAUUGGAACCGCAGAAGUACUGAACAAUUCAUGUGAUUCCUAGACAGUCCCUGCUUGGCAGACUCCAGCUAUCAUUACUCCUAAGAAAAUAGUGAGAACUAUGAUCUUCUUCCUCUCCUGGAAGCUCCUUGGCUCAGGAGGUGAGCUGAUGACCAGUCUUUGACUUCAAUGAGUCUGGCAGGGAGUCAGAGGUCAACUCCAUGAGACUGAGUCAGCAGAGGAGCUAGAAUUAGUCCUGUAAGAGAUGGCCCCUCCCUGGAAGCAGUCUGGCCUCUUAAUUCCAAGGAUCCAACUUGGCCUAAAUCAUCUUUAGGGGAGAGAGUCUCUGUGUUCUUUCCCCUGACAUGGUCCUUUCAAUGUCCCUUUCCCUUUCCCAGAGCAAUAACUCUACAGCUUUGCUCCCUGGCCCACCUUUAAAGCACAUUCAUACAUAUGCACGCACACCUACAGAGCACUCUUCUAGAAUCUGAGAAGUGGGGAAAGUGCUGGUGCUACCUGAUAAUGCACUAUUCUUACAUCAAACAUGUCAGGUUACUUUGAGUGUCACCUCUAUGUUAGGCAUAUGUAUGUAAUUUAAACCUUAGAACAGCUCUAGAUUAUGGGUAUUUUAUUUCCCUUACAGUUGAAGAAACUGAGGUUCAAAAAAAGAAACGGAGCUGGACAUGGUAGCACACACCUAUAAUCCCAAUGACUCAGAAGGCUGAAGUAGGAGUAUUGAAAGUUCGAGGCCAGCCUGGGCAACCUAGCAAGACCCUGUCUCAAAAAUAAAAGGGCUUGGGCUGGGGAUAUAGCUCAGUUGGUACAGUGCUUAUCUCAGUUGGCCAGUGCAUGCACAAGGCCCUGGGUUCAAUCUCUAACACCACAAAAAAUAAAAAUGAUAGAUAGAUAGAUAGAUAGAUAGAUAGAUAGGCUGGGGAUGUGACUCAGUGGUAGAGCACCCUUAGGUUCUCUACCCCAGUAUCACCCCCUAAAAAAAAGAGAGAAAAUAAAAGAAACUGAGGUUCAAACAGGUUAAUUUGCUCAAGUGUAAGUGACAGGCAGGAUUUGGAUCAGGUUAUCCUGACUCCAGAGCUUAUGGUUAUGCUGCCACAUCACAUCCAUGCAAGGAUCAGGAGCAGGAAGACAAGCUAGAGUUUCCAUAUUUUUCUCUUAAUUUUCCCACCUGUUGCCAACUGCAAUAAUGGGGGUAGGGGACUCUGUAAAACCAGCAGAGGAAGGGAAUUAAUGUAACAGGAAUGUAGUUGGUUGGACAAAACGCACAGAUGCUAGUUAGAAUCCCCAUCUGUGUUGAUGCUUGGAAUUGCCUCAUGAACAAGACCACUGGCCAUCAGUACCUGGCCCAGUUUUCCCAUCUGUCUGCCAUUCCGUAGUUCUCAGGUUUCUCUCUUUUUUCUUCCCUAAAACACUUGGCUCAGGUAUCCUACAGCUUCUUCAGUCAAGAACAUCCCGAAAAUUCCUAGCAUGUCGUCUAACCCCAGAUAUGGAAACUAAGCUCCUCUUCAUGACAUCCCGGGUGAGCUCACCUAUUGCAACAGGAAGAGGAAUUGCAGGUGCUAGUUGGGCUUCUUGCUUCUGUCUGCAGAUCUGUUACUCUGAGUACUGAUCCACAGAGUGGUAGCUAAGUGGUAGCCCUUAUCCACAUGGCUACUGGCUUCUUUCCUUUGUUAAUUCUGUGCCUAUACACUGUGCUCAGUGCUAAGAAUUGGAGAUAAGGGUUGAAUAAGAGAGAUGCAGUUCUAGCUCUGUGAAGCUUUCAGUCUAUCUAAAGUAGCCAUUAUGCAGAGAAUUAUAUGCAAGUGUGAACUGUGCUGUUAAAGUUUAGAGUGAGAAUGUUUAUUCUGUCCAUGGUUCUUCCAGGGAAACUGUGAGCUUUCAAGGUAGCUAUGACCUUUUAGUGUCCAAAUAUGGCUGAACGGUGGUAAAACUGCUUGAGGAACAUGUUAUAGAUGGAAUCUGAUCAAAUAAAGAACCACUGCCCUAGCCAACUUUUGGAUCCCCAAGUUAUCUAGGAGAACUGUCCAGACCUUUGGUGUCCUUUGUAAUAGCCACUAGCCAUAUUUUGCAAUUUAAAUAUAAGUUAGUUAAAAUUUAGUAUCUUGUUUGCAGAAGCUACAUCUGAACUGCUCAUGGCUACCAUCAUUGCAGGAAGUUUUGUUGUGAAGUGUGGUCUGAGUGUAACUUUUUGUUUACCUUUCUGCCAUUUGGAUUUCUUCUGACAGGGGAAUAGAGGAGGAAAACAGAUCCUCCUUUUUUGCUAUUUAUAACCAUUUGGGUCUAUUUAGAAGUUUUAGAGGGCUGGGGAUGUGGCUCAAGCGGUAGCGCGCUCGCCUGGCAUGCGUGCGGCCUGGGUUUGAUCCUCAGCACCACAUACAAACAAAGAUGUUGUGUCCACCGAUAACUAAAAAAAAAAAAAAAACACUAUCGUGAUUCCCUGAAGAAAAAAAAAAGAAGUUUUAGAGUCUGUGCCUUGGAUAAUGGUCCUGUUAGGUUGCUGGAUGGCAGGAAGCACUCAGUGCUGAAUGGUGAACAGGUUUAGUUCUUGCUUUCAAGGAACAUUCCUUGUUGUCCAGUAGGCUCCAGAAAAUAAGAAAAGAUUAUACUUAGGACCAAAUCUUCAGUGACCAGUGUUGGAGCAAGGAGCCAAAAAUAGACCACAGUUGUUGGGGGUAAAUGUGGCAUCAGGUCAGGGCUGAGAAUGAAUGCACCCAUGACAUGCAAGGCAGCCUAGAAAGACUUAGAGUACUUUUUAAAAUCAUGAAAUAACCCCAAAAGGAAAAGACACUCAAGAGACAGUGUGAGCUAAUGAGUAAGUUGUAGGAAGAAAUGAAGGUCUAGGUCAAACAUGGAGUUUAACAGUUCUCAUAGAUUCCACCCUGCUUUCCAAGUUUCUUUUUCUAACUUUUCCCUCCUCAGGUGCGGUUUGGUCAACAAAAGAGAUACCAAGACUGGUUCCAGCGCCAGUAUUUGUCAACCCCAGACAGUCAGUCUCUACGCUGUGACCUCAUUCGCUACAUCUGUGGGGUAGUCCACCCUUCUAAUGAAGUGCUGAGUUCUGACAUCUUGCCUCGAUGGGCCAUCAUUGGUUGGCUCCUGACAACAUGCACGGUAGGGGGCUGGGCCACAGGGUAGAGGAUGUUGGACAGUGAAGGAUGCCUUCUGUAUUUCCAUGCUUCUUGCUGGACUCUCCAGGGCCAUUUGAUCCAUAAGGACCCUUCUUUCACUGUUGUCUUUCAAAUGUUUCAGGCUCUUAUUCCAUUACCUUUGUGUCUCAAGAAAUUUUGUUAGACUCAUUAUUUCUCAUCUGGGUUGGGGAUUCAAUAGGUCCAUCUAUCUCUUUAUUACUAACCCCCAAAAUCCUGGAUUUCUGAAGCAUUCUUGCCUUUUUCCUUUGAGCUUCUGGAUACCACAAAGUUAGGGCUUGCAUUCUUUAGACCCUCACCUCCGUGCUUCUGGCAUCAGCUUCGGAUAAAGGAGCCAUUUCCUUCCCAGCAUUUUCCUUCCUGUGUUGAGAUGGAAAACCAUCCAUUCUCUGACAUCUUCUGACAGGGUUUCCCCUUUCUUCUCUGAUUAGAUUCUUAGAAUGUACUGAUUCAAAUAUGACAAAAGACUAUUCCUAGAGGGCCUUUUCUUCAGAAAUGUGGGUGGGGGAGCCCACCAAGGGCAGCCCAGGGGCCAUCUGAGUAUUGCCUUGACUCAGAAGUAAUGAGUGAACUCCUAAGUCCAAGUGUUGUCCCUUAGGGGAGGAGAGGUAUAUCCUCCUGGGUGUGUGAGGAUCCCAGCCAGUCCCAUCCCCUUGGUUGGUAAGACCACAGGGUUCUCGUGCUCACAUGUAACACAGACGCAGAUCGUGGGGCUCCACCACGUUUCACUGGGACCUGAAUUUCACAGGUGCAGCAACAAAGUAAGCCCUGGAAUCUGCCCUGGGCUUCAGAAGGGAAGGGAGACGGUUGAUGAAAUUAGCCCUUUAUUUUUGUCCUUCUCUUUUCCAGUCCAAUGUUGCUGCCUCUAAUGCCAAGCUGGCUUUGUUUUACGACUGGCUGUUCUUUAGUCCAGACAAGGAUAGCAUUAUGAACAUAGGUAUGUGCCCCAGACCAGGCAGCACCACCUUCCCCUUCCUCAGGCCCCACUGCCUCGUCCUGGUGACAGCAGUCAUAAAUCUGAGGGCAGCACGGAGUGGGAGCAGUUUAUCUGGGAGCAGUUCCGUUGUUCCUCAUCAGUUCUUCCUUGACAGAAAAUUGCUUUGGUGAGGCUAAGCAAUCACCACCCUCUCCCUUCUCCCCAUAGCCUCAUCCCUGGGCUCUGGGUGGGAAGGGCCUGGGCAGAGGAAAAGAUGUGCCAUGUCCUGCUUUUCCUUUCCUCCUACCUCCAUUCUUCAAGCUGUAUGCUGAAGACAAGAAGGAAGAAUGAGGGCUAAGAACAGUUGGGGGACUGGUUGCUCUCAGAGCUGCCCGAUAGGAAUGAGCACUCCCCAGAGCCUUUUAGUAUAUGUUGACAUCCCAUUUUGUGGAUGUGGAAACAGAAAGUCUGAUGUGGGGGGGGGGGAAUCCUUUAAUUCCACAUUCUCUAGAGCCAGCCAUCCUGGUAAUGCAUCAUUCUAUGAAGCCCCAUCCAGCCAUCACUGCCACACUCCUGGACUUCAUGUGCCGUGUAAGUGCCAGAGCCCCCUCUCCUCCCAGUUCCUGGAUGCAGAGUUACAUCUGUAUCCAUAGUCUUUCACUGAUGGAGUCUUUCCUGGCCCCCUUGUCCGGAGCAGAAGUGGUCAACUCAGUGAAUGCUUCCCUUCAUAUUACCACUGCUCCAGUUGGAUCAUCCCUUGUUUCCAUGAUUUUCUCAAUUGUAGGAUGACAACUCAAGGUAGAAUCUAGUCUCCUUGAGAAGCAGCUGGGUCCAGUAAGUGUCCCAACUGCCUAGCCUGAAAUAGUCAGAUAUGCUCCAUUCCUCUGCAGACAUACUACCCCAGUGUUCCCUGACCACAACCAAAGCAGUUUCUUAGAUCUAGUUCAGCAGAACACUCUAUUCAGAGUCCUGUGCCAUUCUUCCCUCCUCUUCUUUCCUUCCAGAUCAUUCCCAACUUCUAUCCACCUUUGGAAGGCCAUGUGCGGCAGGGUGUCUUUUCUUCCCUCAACCACAUUGUGGAGAAACGGGUCUUGGCGUAAGGAGUUUAUAUGUAGGGAGGUGGAGGUAUGGGGUUCUCCCAUUUUUCCUUAGGUCCAGCCCCCUCUGGGUCAGGCACAUCCAGAUAUUGUCAUAACACUGCUGACCCUUUCCCCUGGCAGGUAUAACAAGUACUGGAUUCCUCUCCCCCACCCCCAAACUACGGGGCAUAUGUCCUGUUGAGUCUCAAAGGAAUUUCUCUCCUGCCAUUAUAUUACAAAGGGCUUCAAAUGCCUUCCUUUCCCGUUACCCCUUGGAAGGAUCUGAGGAUGUCCCAGUCUUACUGAUUGGACCUAGGUCUCACUCUUUAUCUCCAUGUUGAGUUAGAAAUGAGGAACUCUGAUGUUGACCUUCAUUUAUGUUUCCCAUUAGACACUUGGCUCCCCUGUUUGACAACCCUAAAUUGGAUAAAGAGCUGCGGGCCAUGCUGAGAGAGAAAUUUCCUGAAUUCUGCAGCUCACCCUCCCCACCUGUGGAAGGUAUGGUGGUAGUCCUGCUGUCAUCUGUGUUAGAAGAAGGAUGAAGCCAUCCAAGGUGUAGACUAGAGCCCUGUUUGUGAUGUUGUCCCUGGGGAGUUCUCCUCUUAACACUGUCUCAGUGUUCUCUUUUUAUUAUUGCUGUGUUGUCUCCCUUGGUUCUCUCUCGCUCCAUCAAAUCUUACUUGAUUUUUCCCUCAUCUGUCUUGAUCUCUUAACCCUUUUUUUCUCUCCAGUAAGUAGAGGCCCUCAUGGAAUGUUUGUUGUCUCACUGUACCCAUCCCUUCUCUCUUCCCAUCCCUCCACCCUUGCCCCUGAUGAGAGGUUGCACAGUAGGUCCCAGUCUGCCAUUUCCCUGCCAGCCAUCCCCCACAUACUUUUUGUCUUGGGAUCAGGGCUUAAGCCAAGCACUACUUCCGAAUUUGGUUUUAAAUUAAAGAGCACAAGAGAUUGUCUCCACUCAUCCUGAGCUAAGGAUAGAAAAUUCAUGUCCUGUGUUGUUCCUUUUCCUGGCAGCAUCUCCCUACAGGUCAUAGAAGGUUGUAAGGACAAGAGAUUUGUCCUUGCAGGUUCAGUGUUCCAUUUAGCACAUAAACUCUGUAUUCUCCCACUUACACUCCAGCCUCCCCUUCCCAGAAGCUUGGGACAUACUGGAGGCCAUCAGAUACCUUUCUCUCUUU